rnacentral:rRNA from 1 species
UACGUAGGGCGCGAGCGUUGUCCGGAAUCAUUGGGCGUAAAGAGCUCGUAGGCGGCCUGUCGCGUCUGCUGUGAAAUCCCGGGGCUCAACCCCGGGCGUGCAGUGGAUACGGGCUGGCUGGAGGCAGGCAGGGGAGAACGGAAUUCCCGGUGUAGCGGUGAAAUGCGCAGAUAUCAGGAGGAACACCGGUGGCGAAGGCGGGUCUCUGGGCCGAUACUGACGCUGAGGAGCGAAAGCGUGGGGAGCGAACAGG